rnacentral:rRNA from 1 species
GACGAACGCUGGCGGCGUGCUUAACACGUGCAAGUCGAGCGGUAAGGCCCUUUCGGGGGUACACGAGCGGCGAACGGGUGAGUAACACGUGGGUGACCUGCCCUCAGCUCUGGGAUAAGCCUGGGAAACCGGGUCUAAUACUGGAUAUGACUCCAUGACGCAUGUUGUGGGGUGGAAAGCCUUGUGCGGCUGAGGAUGGGCCCGCGGCCUAUCAGCUUGUUGGUGGGGUGAUGGCCUACCAAGGCGACGACGGGUAGCCGGCCUGAGAGGGCGACCGGCCACACUGGGACUGAGACACGGCCCAGACUCCUACGGGAGGCAGCAGUGGGGAAUCUUGCGCAAUGGCGAAAGCCUGACGCAGCGACGCCGCGUGAGGGAUGACGGCCUGU